rnacentral:rRNA from 1 species
UACAGAGGGGGCAAGCGUUGUUCGGAAUUACUGGGCGUAAAGGGCGCGUAGGCGGCCUCUUAAGUCGAACGUGAAAUCCCCGGGCUCAACCCGGGAACUGCGUCCGAUACUGGGAGGCUUGAAUCCGGGAGAGGGAUGUGGAAUUCCAGGUGUAGCGGUGAAAUGCGUAGAUAUCAGGAAGAACACCCGUGGCUAAGGCGGUUCUCUAGUACGGUACUGACGCUGAGACGCGAAAGCGUGGGGAGCGAACAGG